GCGAUCGAGAGAAUCGUGGUUAAGGAACUCGGCAAAAUGCCCCCGUAACUUCGGGAGAAGGGGGGCCUGAAGCGUGAACCGACUUGCUCGGGGAGCGUGAAGGGCCGCAGAGACCAGGGAGAAGCGACUGUUUACUAAAGACACAGGUCCGUGCGAAGUCGCAAGACGAUGUAUACGGACUGACGCCUCCCCGGUGCUGGAAGGUUAAGAGGACGGGUCAGCCGCAACGCGAAGCUCAGAAUUUAAGCCCCAGUAAACGGCGGUGGUAACUAUAACCAUCCUAAGGUAGCGAAAUUCCUUGUCGGGUAAGUUCCGACCUGCACGAAUGGCGUAACGACUUCUCCGCUGUCUCAACCGCGAACUCGGCGAAAUUGCACUACGAGUAAAGAUGCUCGUUACGCGCAGCAGGACGGAAAGACCCCGGGACCUUUACUAUAGUUUGGUAUUGGUGUUCGGUGCGGCUUGUGUAGGAUAGGUGGGAGACUGUGAAGCCGGCACGCCAGUGUCGGUGGAGUCAACGUUGAAAUACCACUCUGGUCGCUCUGGAUAUCUAACCUCGGUCCGUGAUCCGGAUCAGGGACAGUGCCUGAUGGGUAGUUUAACUGGGGCGGUUGCCUCCUAAAAUGUAACGGAGGCGCUCAAAGGUUCCCUCAGCCUGGUUGGCAAUCAGGUGGCGAGUGCAAGUGCACAAGGGAGCUUGACUGUGAGACUGACAGGUCGAGCAGGGACGAAAGUCGGAACUAGUGAUCCGGCGGUGGCUUGUGGAAGCGCCGUCGCUCAACGGAUAAAAGGUACCCCGGGGAUAACAGGCUGAUCUUGCCCAAGAGUCCAUAUCGACGGCAUGGUUUGGCACCUCGAUGUCGGCUCGUCGCAUCCUGGGGCUGGAGUAGGUCCCAAGGGUUGGGCUGUUCGCCCAUUAAAGCGGUACGCGAGCUGGGUUUAGAACGUCGUGAGACAGUUCGGUCCCUAUCCGCUGCGCGCGCAGGAAACUUGAGAAGGGCUGUCCCUAGUACGAGAGGACCGGGACGGACGAACCUCUGGUGUGCCAGUUGUUCCGCCAGGAGCACGGCUGGUUAGCUACGUUCGGAAGGGAUAACCGCUGAAAGCAUCUAAGCGGGAAGCCUGCUUCAAGAUGAGGUUUCCAUGCCCCCUUGAGGGGUGAGAGGCUCCCAGCUAGACCACUGGGUAGAUAGGCCGGAUGUGGAAGAGGGGACUCAAGACCCUUGCAGCUGACCGGUACUAAUAAGCCGACAACUCCAAAAA
rnacentral:rRNA from 1 species